rnacentral:rRNA from 1 species
ACAGAGGUGGCAAGCGUUGUUCGGAUUUACUGGGCGUAAAGGGUGCGUAGGUGGUAUUGUGUGUCGGUCGUGAAAGCUCACCGCUCAACGGUGAAAGUGCGUCCGAAACUACAAAACUAGAGUGCAGGAGAGGAGAGCGGAAUACUUGGUGUAGCGGUGGAAUGCGUUGAGAUCAAGUAGAACACCGGUGGCGUAGGCGGCUCUCUGGAAUGUAACUGACACUGAGGCACGAAAGUUGGGGGAGCAAACAGGAUUAGAUACCCUGGUAGUCCCAACCCUAAACGGUGUACACUUGUUGUAGGGGGAAUUGACCCCCCCUGUGACGGAGCUAACGCGUUAAGUGUACCGCCUGGGGAGUACGGUCGCAAGAUUA